rnacentral:misc_RNA from 1 species
GAUGAAGAACGUAGCGAAAUGCGAUACUUGGUGUGAAUUGCAGUAUCCCGUGAACCAUCGAGUCUUUGAACGCAAGUUGCGCCCGAAGCCAUUAGGCCGAGGGCACGCCUGCCUGGGCGUCACACGUCGUUGCCCCCCCCAUCUACUCCUUCGGGAUUGCGGGGGGCGGAUGAUGGCCUCCCGUGCGCCUCGCCGCGCGGUUGGCAUAAAUGCCAAGUCCUCGGCGACGCACGCCACGACAAUCGGUGGUUGCGAAACCUCGGUUGCCCGUCGUGUGCGGUCGUCGCGCAUCGAGGGCUCGAAAAAAUUGCCGAGUUCCGGCUCGGCUUUCAACGCGACCCCAGGUCAGGCGGGGUUACCCGCUGAAUUUAAGCAUAUCAAUAAGCGGAGGA